rnacentral:precursor_RNA from 12 species
UCCGAGUUGCUAUUUUGCAUUUACAAGACUCAGGAGUACGUGUAGUCCCUCUCGUUAGUCCAUUCCCAGAGGGCAGAUACGACUCUUGGUUUUGUGUGCUUUGGGCUUCCGGAUGGUCCG